AAUAGAUACCCUGGUAGUCCACGCCGUAAACGAUGUCGACUUGGAGGUUGUUCCCUUGAGGAGUGGCUUCCGGAGCUAACGCGUUAAGUCGACCGCCUGGGGAGUACGGCCGCAAGGUUAAAACUCAAAUGAAUUGACGGGGGCCCGCACAAGCGGUGGAGCAUGUGGUUUAAUUCGAUGCAACGCGAAGAACCUUACCUACUCUUGACAUCCAGAGAACUUAGCAGAGAUGCUUUGGUGCCUUCGGGAACUCUGAGACAGGUGCUGCAUGGCUGUCGUCAGCUCGUGUUGUGAAAUGUUGGGUUAAGUCCCGCAACGAGCGCAACCCUUAUCCUUUGUUGCCAGCGGUUCGGCCGGGAACUCAAAGGAGACUGCCAGUGAUAAACUGGAGGAAGGUGGGGAUGACGUCAAGUCAUCAUGGCCCUUACGAGUAGGGCUACACACGUGCUACAAUGGCGUAUACAAAGAGAAGCGACCUCGCGAGAGCAAGCGGACCUCAUAAAGUACGUCGUAGUCCGGAUUGGAGUCUGC
rnacentral:rRNA from 1 species